CAACAUGAGAGUAGAAGAGGAACAAUUAGAAAAGAACCAGCUCUCCUGGGAGCAGACUUUUUUCCUUUAGCUACCAAGGACAUCAUCCAGCCUGGAGUAAAAAUGUGAAUCCCCUGGGAAGACGGGUUUCCCCACUCGUGUGCCUCCUUCCUAGACUGCUGACUCAGUUUUUCCUUCAUGAGCAAUUUGAGGUUGUUCUGACCUGUGUUCUUUGACAGUCAUUUUGUCAGAAAUGGGAUUCAAUAAUGGGCCAAACUGCUGACUGGACUGAACCAGACAUGACAGCCUAGUCCCAGCAGGGAAGUUUCAGAGGGGGAUCUCCAAUUUGUGUCAACUAAUCUCUGUUGGACGCCCACACCAACUUCAGGAUGACUGGGAAGAUUCUAGUAAAAGCCAAAGCUGCCUAAUAGCAAUGUCUCCUUGCCACCAUU